rnacentral:lncRNA from 1 species
UAAAAGCAUUUCUCUUGUGCUUGUUGGCUUUCUUAUAUCUUGUGUAUAAUUUUCUUCCAACCCAUACCGGUAUACCUACGAUAAAAAAAAAGUACCGCUAUACCAGCAACCAAAGCAAUUCCAACAGGAGCACCAACGAGAGUUCCUAGCUGCCAAAGAAUCUUCUUCUUUCUGGACCACGGCUUUUUACCCCAAAAAGUACAGCCAGAAGGACUGUUCAAAAAUAAUCGAAACGUAUCAUUAAAACAUGUUGAAAUUUUUGCCUAAUAUAAUUGAUAUCAUUAAUCAAUAAUAAUAUUAAUACCUAAGAUAAUGAAGAUCACUGAUUUCUUUCAUGCAAAGCCAACAAAAUUCGGCUCCACAAACGGCACAUGUCAUAUGAUUACAAGUUCCAUCGUCCAUUUUAACGAUGAGAGCUUGACAUCGUGGACAUGGUUUAAUAUCAUCUCCUGAAAGAAUAAGAAUGGCAUAAUAACC